AGCAAGCUCUAGUUCCAGAUGACUGAUUCUUGUAUUUGAAUUGGCUGUUUAGUGCCAGUAAUUGAGAAGCCUAUAAAAAUUCUGCUGUUUUCUAAUUUUGUAUAGUAUAAAGUUGGCUCUAAUACAUGUACUAACAACCAUUUGUAGUUGCAAGGCCUACUUGGGUGAAUUGCAAGACUUGGGUGGGUAGGCAGCUCUAAGAAUUGAGGGAGUUUAUGAACACUGCAACUUCCAUUCCUAACAUCUGAAUUUCCAAAUUUUAUUUUUAACAGACAGCCUGGAAAAGGUCCAAAGAAGCUUUCUGGUGCAGCAAAUAGAAAAAGAAAGGCUCAGAGAGAAUUGCAAGUGGCUAGUUUACGUGCUUCAAUGAUGCAAUUUAUGCAGUCUAGUCAUACAUUAGACAGUGAGCUGCAAGACAGGAACAGUGAAAUGCUUCAAGAGGCAGAUUUCUCUGAGGUGCCAAGCAGUCCUUCCAGACCAGGUGAAAGUGACAGUUCCUGCCAAAGUCCCAGCAAUGCUUGCUGUAUGGUAGAUGUUGAGAAUACUGGUACUGGAU